UUCCAGUCCCAUACUGAACUGAUGUGGCCA
rnacentral:piRNA from 1 species